AUUGAACGCUGGCGGCAUGCCUUACACAUGCAAGUCGAACGGCAGCGCGGACUUCGGUCUGGCGGCGAGUGGCAAACGGGUGAGUAAUACAUCGGAACGUACCCUGUUGUGGGGGAUAACUAGUCGAAAGGUUAGCUAAUACCGCAUACGACCUGAGGGUGAAAGUGGGGGACCGCAAGGCCUCACGCAGCAGGAGCGGCCGAUGUCUGAUUAGCUAGUUGGUGGGGUAAAGGCCCACCAAGGCGACGAUCAGUAGCUGGUCUGAGAGGACGAUCAGCCACACUGGGACUGAGACACGGCCCAGACUCCUACGGGAGGCAGCAGUGGGGAAUUUUGGACAAUGGGGGCAACCCUGAUCCAGCAAUGCCGCGUGUGUGAAGAAGGCCUUCGGGUUGUAAAGCACUUUUGUCCGGAAAGAAAUCGCGCUGGUUAAUACCUGGCGUGGAUGACGGUACCGGAAGAAUAAGCACCGGCUAACUACGUGCCAGCCGCCGCGGUAA
rnacentral:rRNA from 1 species